rnacentral:tRNA from 1 species
GCAUUGGUGGUUCAACGGUAGAGCUCUCACCUUCCAUGUGGGAGGCCCAGGUUCAAUUCCUGGCCGAUCCC